AUUUCUCUUCAUCUUAACAUUUUUUCACUAGCAAGAGAAAAAGCAGAAGAGAAAGAGCACAUACAAGAUCUGACAGCAGCUUCUAGCUCAAGGAAUGUUGCUAUCAGAGCGCUUCUGGAUAUAUCGAUAUCUGUCAAAAGCCUAUUCAUCCAAUCUUCCAGACAGCACCUCCUCUGCAAUAAACUAAACAUUAUGAGAAUAUUUUUUAGCGGUCACUAAUCUUAGAGUUGAGAGACUGGAUGUCUACUUCUUCCAAAAGGGUCUCGUUUUUCAUCCUCAGUCUCUUCUUUGGUGGUGGCAGGGGUAACCUUUUCUUCACAAACUCCUUUUUAAUCUGGAAAAUGACGAAUUUAAGAUGAAAACCCCCAUAACCCAAAGAAAAUGGCUGAAUACAUAUUCAAGCAAGCAAGUCAUAGUUGUUUGUAGAAU